rnacentral:rRNA from 1 species
UACGUAGGGUGCGAGCGUUGUCCGGAAUUAUUGGGCGUAAAGAGCUUGUAGGCGGUUUGUCGCGUCUGCUGUGAAAUCUCAAGGCUCAACCUUGAGCUUGCAGUGGGUACGGGCAGACUAGAGUGUGGUAGGGGAGACUGGAAUUCCUGGUGUAGCGGUGAAAUGCGCAGAUAUCAGGAGGAACACCGGUGGCGAAGGCGGGACUCUGGGCCGAUACUGACGCUGAGGAGCGAAAGCGUGGGGAGCGAACAGG